AUGAAAACUAUGAUAUGUAUAGUCAUCAACGCAUCACUAGAAAUGGUGUCCGAGUCAACGGAGGUUAUGAGUCCGAAUGCUCACAGCUGUCAAAGCUCAUAUCUACAGAAAUACAAUUAAAAACAAGAAAAACAGGUAGCAUGAUCAUACAAGAUGGGACGUUUCUCUUUUCGGACAUUAAGUAUUAUUGUCUAAACUUCCGGAGACAUUUUCAUGUCUUUCGGUUAGAUAAUAAGCUUUUUGAAUGAAAGAAACUCCUCGGAGUAUUGUUGUA